AUGGUGAAACCCCAUCUUAAAUAAAUAAAAAAAAAAAAAAAGAAGAUUAGCAUGGCCCCUAUGCAAGGAUGACAUGCAAAUUCAUGAAGCGUUCCAGAAAAUU